rnacentral:rRNA from 1 species
GAUGAACGCUGGCGGCGUGCCUAAUACAUGCAAGUCGAGCGAACAGACGAGGAGCUUGCUCCUCUGACGUUAGCGGCGGACGGGUGAGUAACACGUGGAUAACCUACCUAUAAGACUGGGAUAACUUCGGGAAACCGGGGCUAAUACCGGAGAAUAUAUUGAACCGCAUGGUUCAAUAGUGAAAGACGGUUUUGCUGUCACUUAUAGAUGGAUCCGCGCUGCAUUAGCUAGUUGGUAAGGUAACGGCUUACCAAGGCAACGAUGCGUAGCCGACCUGAGAGGGUCAUCGGCCACACUGGAACUUUGACCCGGUCCAUACUCCUACGGGCGGCAGCAGCAGGGAAUAUUCCGCACUGGGCGAAAACCUAUCGGAGCAACGCCGCGUCAGUGAUGAUAGUCUUCGUAUCGUAAAGCUCUGUUAUUAGGGAAGCACCAAUGUGUAACUAACUAUGCCCGUCUUGACGGUCCCUAAUCAAGCAGCCCCCGCUAACUACGCG